AUUGGACGCUGGCGGCGUGCCUAACACAUGCAAGUCGAGCGGUAACAGGUGUAGCAAUACAUGCUGACGAGCGGCGGACGGGUGAGUAACGCUUGGGAAUCUGCCUAUUAGUGGGGGACAACCCGGGGAAACUCGGGCUAAUACCGCAUACGCUCUACGGAGGAAAGCCGGGGACCGCAAGGCCUGGCGCUAAUAGAUGAGCCCAAGUCGGAUUAGCUAGUUGGUAGGGUAAUGGCCUACCAAGGCGACGAUCCGUAACUGGUCUGAGAGGACGACCAGUCACACCGGAACUGAGACACGGUCCGGACUCCUACGGGAGGCAGCAGUGGGGAAUAUUGGACAAUGGGCGAAAGCCUGAUCCAGCGACGCCGCGUGGGUGAAGAAGGCCUGCGGUUGUAAAGCCCUUUCAGUGGGAAGAAAAGCCUCGACCUAACACGUCGGGGUCUUGACGUAACCCAUAGAAGAAGCACCGGCUAACUCUGUG
rnacentral:rRNA from 1 species